GAGGGUAGAGCUCAAGUGGUAGAGCGCUUGCUUAGCAUGCAUGAGGUCCGGGGUUCAAUCCCCAGUGCCUCCU
rnacentral:tRNA from 1 species